GUUACCCAAAAUUUAGAGUCUUUCAAUAUUCAAUAAACAAGUAACUAAAUCUAGAAAUACAUAUGUCUAACGCAAAAUUUUCAGUUGUUUUCCCCAUCAUCUUCCUUAUAAUGUUUGCUUUAGUGGAGGAUAAUAUGGGAUGUCAGGCGAGUCUUGGUGAUUGCCGUAUAUGCGGAAUAAAAUGCAGUUAUUACGGAAGACAUGCAGAGGCUCACUGUAUCGGUGGUAUUUGUGUUUGCGACUUUCCUUGUAAACCUCCACCAAAACUAUAAAAUCAAAAUUAUUUAAAAUUAAAAAGAUGAAAUAAUACUUUGAAUAUCAUAAUCAUAAUUGCUGCAGUCUUUCAUAGUAUUUUAAAUAAUAAUUCCGUGAACCUUUGAUAUCAA